rnacentral:rRNA from 1 species
GACGAACGCUGGCGGCGUGCCUAACACAUGCAAGUCGAGCGAGGUGAACACCUUCGGGUGAUUGCCGAGCGGCGGACGGGUGAGGAACGCGUGAACAAUCUGUCUUUCACAGGGGGAUACCCGACAGAAAUGUCGGCUAAUACCGCAUAAGACCACAGUGUCGCAUGGCACAGAGGUAAAAGGAGCAAUCCGGUGAAAGGUGAGUUCGCGUCCCAUUAGCUAGAUGGUGAGGUAACGGCUCACCAUGGCGACGAUGGGUAGCCGACCUGAGAGGGUGAUCGGCCACACUGGGACUGAGACACGGCCCAGACUCCUACGGGAGGCAGCAGUGGGGAAUAUUGGGCAAUGGGCGAAAGCCUGACCCAGCAACGCCGCGUGAAGGAAGAAGGUUUUCGGAUCGUAAACUUUUGUCCUAUGGGAAGAAAACAAUGACGGUACCAUAGGAGGAAGCCCCGGCUAACUACGUGCCAGCAGCCGCGGUAACAC